GACGAACGCUGGCGGCGUGCUUAACACAUGCAAGUCGAGCGGAAAGGCCUCUUCGGGGGUACUCGAGCGGCGAACGGGUGAGUAACACGUGAGUAAUCUGCCUCUGGCUUCGGGAUAGCCACCGGAAACGGUGAUUAAUACCGGAUAUGACGCAUCACUGCAUGGUGUGUGCGUGGAAAGUUUUUUCGGCCAGGGAUGUGCUCGCGGCCUAUCAGCUUGUUGGUGGGGUAAUGGUCUACCAAGGCUUCGACGGGUAGCCGGCCUGAGAGGGUGACCGGCCACACUGGGACUGAGACACGGCCCAGACUCCUACGGGAGGCAGCAGUGGGGAAUAUUGGACAAUGGGCGGAAGCCUGAUCCAGCAACGCCGCGUGAGGGAUGACGGCCUUCGGGUUGUAAACCUCUUUCAGCACAGACGAAGCGCAAGUGACGGUAUGUGCAGAAGAAGGACCGGCCAACUACGUGCCAGCCGCCGCGGUAAGAC
rnacentral:rRNA from 1 species